GACGAACGCUGGCGGCGUGCCUAAUACAUGCAAGUCGAACGCUGAAGGAGGAGCUUGCUCUUCUGGAUGAGUUGCGAACGGGUGAGUAACGCGUAGGUAACCUGCCUGGUAGCGGGGGAUAACUAUUGGAAACGAUAGCUAAUACCGCAUAACAGUAGAUGUUGCAUGACAUUUACUUAAAAGGUGCAAUUGCAUCACUACCAGAUGGACCUGCGUUGUAUUAGCUAGUUGGUGGGGUAACGGCUCACCAAGGCGACGAUACAUAGCCGACCUGAGAGGGGGAUCGGCCACACUGGGACUGAGACACGGCCCAGACUCCUACGGGAGGCAGCAGUAGGGAAGCUUCGGCAAUGGACGGAAGUCUGACCGAGCAACGCCGCGUGAGGGAAGAAGGGUUUCGGAUCGUAAAGCUCUGUUGUAAGAGAAGAACGAGUGUGAGAGUGGAAAGUUCACACUGUGACGGUAUCUUACCAGAAAGGGACGGCUAACUACGUG
rnacentral:rRNA from 1 species